CCCCCUCUCUCCGCGCGUUUUUUUUUCUUCUUCUCUUCCUUCUUCGCCCAUUUUUUCCUGCCGAAUUUUUCCUCACUUUCUUGGAUCUCGCUCUUGCUUCUUCACUUGCUUCUUCGCUUGAAUUCGUUUUCUCCUUCUCCGAAAGGAGCAACAAUGCCUCUGAGACUCGAAAUUAAGAGAAAACUUGCUCAAAGAUCUGAGCGAGUAAAAUCAGUGGAUCUACAUCCAACAGAGCCAUGGAUUUUGACAAGUCUAUAUUCAGGAAGUGUCUGUAUUUGGAACUACCAAUCACAGACUAUGGUGAAGUCAUUUGAGGUUACAGAACUUCCUGUGCGAUCUUCCAAGUUCAUAGCCCGGAAGCAAUGGAUUGUGGCUGGUGCAGAUGAUAUGAUUAUUCGUGUUUAUAACUAUAAUACCAUGGACAAAGUGAAAGUAUUCGAAGCACAUACUGAUUACAUAAGGUGUGUUGCUGUGCAUCCAACAUUGCCAUAUGUCUUGUCAUCAUCUGAUGACAUGCUUAUCAAGCUUUGGGAUUGGGAAAAAGGUUGGAUAUGUACUCAAAUUUUUGAAGGCCAUUCACACUAUGUCAUGCAAGUAACAUUUAAUCCAAAGGACACAAACACUUUUGCAAGUGCCUCUCUCGAUCGAACAAUCAAGAUAUGGAACCUUGGUUCUCCAGAUCCAAAUUUUACAUUGGAUGCUCACAUGAAGGGCGUAAACUGUGUUGACUACUUCACCGGAGGUGACAGACCUUAUUUAAUUACAGGAUCUGAUGAUCAUACAGCUAAGGUGUGGGAUUAUCAGACUAAAAGCUGUGUACAAACCCUAGAAGGUCAUACUCACAAUGUUUCAGCUGUUUGUUUUCAUCCGGAGCUACCCAUAAUCCUCACCGGAUCUGAGGAUGGAACUGUCCGCAUAUGGCAUGCAACCACUUACAGGCUAGAGAACACUUUAAAUUAUGGCCUUGAGCGAGUCUGGGCUGUUGGGUAUAUGAAGGGAUCUAAUCGGGUUGUAAUUGGAUACGAUGAAGGCACAAUUAUGAUAAAAAUUGGCCGUGAAGAGCCAGUUGCUAGCAUGGACAGCAGUGGAAAAAUUAUCUGGGCUAAGCAUAAUGAAAUUCAGACCGUGAACAUUAGAUCUGUUGGAGCAGAUUAUGAGGUCACAGAUGGGGAACGGUUGCCUUUGGCUGUUAAAGAGUUGGGAAGUUGCGAUCUAUAUCCUCAGAGUCUAAAACACAAUCCUAAUGGGAGGUUUGUUGUGGUCUGUGGAGAUGGGGAGUACAUAAUCUACACAGCUCUUGCAUGGAGAAACAGAUCCUUUGGCUCAGCUCUGGAAUUUGUUUGGUCAUCUGAAGGGGAAUAUGCUGUUAGAGAGAGCACAUCUAGAAUAAAGAUAUUUAACAAAAAUUUUCAGGAGAAGAAAAGUAUUAGACCAACAUUUUCCGCAGAGCGCAUAUUUGGUGGAACUUUACUGGCGAUUUGCUCAAAUGACUUCAUUUGUUUCUAUGAUUGGCAAGAAUGCAGACUCAUUCGCCGAAUAGAUGUUGUUGUCAAAAACUUGUAUUGGGCAGAUAGUGGCGACCUACUUUCAAUUGCAAGUGAUACAUCAUUUUAUAUUCUGAAAUAUAAUAGAGAUAUAGUAUCAUUGCAUCUAGAUAGCGGGAAAUCAACAGAUGAGCAGGGUGUUGAAGAAGCAUUUGAGGUUCUCCAUGAGAUGAAUGAGCGUGUACGCACAGGAAUCUGGGUUGGUGAUUGUUUCAUCUACAACAACUCUUCUUGGCGGUUGAACUAUUGUGUUGGUGGUGAGGUGACCACCAUGUUUCAUUUGGAUCGGCCAAUGUACCUGCUUGGUUAUCUUGCAAGUCAGAGCCGUGUUUAUCUCAUAGACAAAGAGUUCAACGUUAUGGGAUAUACUCUGCUUCUCAGUUUGAUUGAGUAUAAAACUCUUGUAAUGCGUGGAGACCUGGAACGUGCAAAUGAAGUCUUACCGUCAAUUCCAAAGGAGCAUCUCAAUAGUGUGGCCCACUUUUUGGAGUCUCGGGGAAUGCUAGAGGACGCAUUGGAAGUGGCAACAGACCCUAAUUACAAAUUUGAUUUAGCUGUACAGCUUGGAAGGCUGGAGGUGGCAAAGGCUAUUGCGGUUGAAGUACAAAGUGAAUCAAAAUGGAAGCAGUUAGGAGAAUUGGCAAUGUCUACUGGAAAGCUAGAAAUGGCUGAGGAAUGUAUGGUCCAGGCUAUGGACUUAAGCGGUUUGUUGCUUCUCUAUUCAUCUCUUGGAGAUGCUGAAGGAAUCUCAAAACUUGCAGCACUUGCUAAGGAUCAAGGGAAGAACAAUGUUACCUUUCUUUGUCUUUUCAUCCUUGGUAGACUGGAGGAGUGUCUUCAAUUGUUGGUGGAAAGUAAUAGGAUACCAGAGGCUGCUUUGAUGGCAAGGUCCUACCUCCCGAGUAAAGUUUCUGAAAUAGUCUCUCUUUGGAGGAAUGACCUAAAUAAGGUGAAUAAGAAAGCUUCAGAAUCAUUAGCAGAUCCAAAUGAGUAUUCUAAUUUAUUUGAUGAUUGGCAAAUCGCUCUUUCUGUUGAAGCUGGUCUUGCUCGGCAAAGGGGCCUUUAUCCACCUGCCGAGGAGUACUUGAGUUAUUGGGAUAGACGCCAAACCAAUCUUGUGGAAGCAUUUAAAAGCAUGCAAAUUGGCGAUGAAACAGCUAUGCCUAUGGAAAAUGGUGAUUUCAUCCAUGAGGAAGCGGAGGAAGAUGUGGAGGAAGAGGAAGCGGUGGAGGAAGAGGGUCAGGACGAGGUGGUUGAUGUGGAGGCUGAGGAUUCAACGGACAGUGCUGUCCUCGUCAAUGGUAACGAGUCUGAUGAACAGUGGGGUAUGAAUAACAAAGGAACUCCAUCAGCAUAACACCCCUCCCCACUGCUAGUCACUGCUUCGCAGUGUAAAAUCCAAAUUUUGUCCCUGUGUUGGCGCCACGUCAGUAGUUUCUCGGAAGCAGGUAUCAGAUUUUGAAUGAGUUCGCAGGAUAUUUUUUUCCUGCCUCCCAUUUGAUCCACGGAACGGGUGGAGUAAGCUGAGGUGCCCUUGUUUUGAUCCUUAGAGAAAUGCUCAUGAAUGUCAAUAUUUUUUUUAUUUUUUUAGAGUUAUGUAUGUAUAUUUUUAACUUUAGAUUCACAUGUUCCUGUAUUUCCCAGAGAAAAAGCAGAUCUUUUGAAAAUGUCAGCGAGGUUCUCCCUCACAAAGAAAAGAAGAACCUGAAAAAAAAUUGAGUUUUUUUGUUA